AUUGAACGCUGGCGGCAGGCCUAACACAUGCAAGUCGAACGAGUGGCGGACGGGUGAGUCAUGUCUGGGAAACUGCCCGAUGGAGGGGGCUAACUAUUGGAAACGGUAGCUAAUACCGCAUACCAUCGGAUGUGCCCAGAUGGGAUUAGCUAGUAGGUGGGGUAACGGCUAACCUAGGCGACGAUCCCUAGCUGGUCUUAGAGGCUGACCAGCCACACUGGAACUGAGACACGGUCCAGACUCCUACGGGAGGCAGCAGUGGGGAAUAUUGGACAAUGGGCGCAAGCCUGAUGCAGCCAUGCCGCGUGUAUGAAGAAGGCCUUCGGGUUGUAAAGUACUUUCAGCGGGGAGGCGUUACCCGCCGAAGAAGCACCGGCUAACUCCGUGCCAGCAGCCGCGGUAAUUC
rnacentral:rRNA from 1 species